CACCUACAGAGAGGCAAGUAGAACUCCUUGUUCCUUUCCUAAAGAUCUGCAAUAACAGAUUAAUAAUAGCCUCAGCCUGUGAAUCCUGUUUCUGUAUCUGAUUGACUCAGGAGUCUCCUUUGAUAACCACAUGCCUGCAGAUGGUACUGUUCUGAGAAGAUCAUCAGCCUUAUCUGAGGACCUGCACUCUGGUCCUCAUACAGGUAACACCUGUACUCUGUCUCUGUGACUAGGCAGGGGUUUUAACAUCUUCAUCCUGGAAAAUUGGAGUCCUUCCCAUGGAAUGUGUGUGUUGAGCUUAGCAGAGACAGCCCUUUCCACUCUGGAGGUAAGACUGGGAAAAUUUGAGUCCAGAGCCCUCUGCUGCCUCUGGGCCCACUGCCUGUCCAAACACACCUGCAGGAGGAAAGAAGGACCUUGUUACAAACAAGAGAAGAAGAGGAGAUCAAAGCAGCUGCAUCAUCUCAUUAACCUUCACCCCCAGAGAAGAUGGCAAGGAAAACUUAGAAACAAACAAAAUCAAGCCACUCUUCCUGCCUUCAGUGGAGCUUCAAACCAGAGGAUGUUACCUGGAACACACUGGAGAGUCAUAACCUUGGAGGCAAGAACACUGGAAUGGGGUGCCAUGCCCACCUCCAUAGGAUCUUCCUGACCCAGGAAUCCAACUGGUAUCUCUUCUUCAUUGGCAAGUGGCUUCUUUACCACUAGCGCCACCUAGUGUCAUAAUAAAUGGAUGAUCAUUGCUUUACCGACAAAGGUCCGUCUAGUCAAGGCUAUGGUUUUUCCAGUAGUCAUGUAUGGAUGUGAGAGUUGGACUAUAAAGCAAGCUGAGCGCUGAAGAAUUGAUGCUUUUGAACUGUGGUGUUGGAGAACACUCUUGAGAGUCCCUUGGACUGCAAGGAGAUCCAACCAGUCCAUCCUAAAGGAAAUCAGUCCUGAAUAUUCACUGGAAGGACUGAUGCUGAAGCUGAAGCUCCAAUACUUUGGCCACCUGAUGUGAAGAGCUGACUCAUUUGAAAAGACUUUGAUGCUGGUAAAGAUCGAAGGCAGGAGGAGAAGGGGACAACAGAGGAUGAGAUGGUUGCAUGGCAUCACCGACUUGAUGGACCUAAGUUUGAGCAAGCUCUGGAAGUUGGUGAUGGAACAGGAAAGGCUGGUGUGCUGCAUUCCAUGGGGUCACAAAGAGUCGGACACAACUGAGAGACUGAUCUGAACUAACCAGGGUAGAGCCGGUUAUAGUUGUGCUAAACAUUUGAACUCGAAUGGUCUCUGAUUGUUGUUGUUCAGUUGCUCAGUUGUGUCUGACCCUUUGCAACCCCAUAAAC
ensembl:lncRNA